GCGCGCUGCCGGGAUGGCGCCGGGUCCGCCCCGCCCGCUCUCCUCCCUCUCCAGGAGCGGGCGGGAAGGAAAGGGUUACGGGAACGAGGUGUUGGACGCCGCCGAGUUUCGUCACCGGGGGGCAAAGCCAGGAGUUCUUGGGACGCCGUUUCCGCCGUUUCCGGAUCCCCCAACCGUUGUCUCCUGGCGCCCGGCUCGCCGAGUCUCCCUCUCCACGCUGCAGGGCCCGCCGGCGAAACCGGGAACGGCAUGCAGGCUUGAAAAAAAGGCAACGGGAAAAAGAAUCAGAGAGGCGUAGGAGGGCUAAAAAAUUCAUAACUCGAUAAGCCCACAAGCAAUCAUUACUAUUUAUCAAGAGGAAAGGAGAAAACCCAGACAAUCGUAAUGCAAAUCAGUCACAAACCCCGGUGCACUUACCGCAUGAAUAUUGUAACUCAACGAUUCCACACCAGAAAGUCUCCAAACCCAUCACCAGGCAUUAAGGCAUUUCUGUUUGACUAUCCAGGGCGUAUUGCCAGCUUAAGUUUUGGAUAGGGUUCACUUCCCCAUGCCCCCACCACCAUGCCAGACCGGCAGAGCGCUUGCCUCUCCCUGAAGCACAAACACCUCGCUUAGCUGAGAAAUCCCAGCAGGAGCAGCUCUGUCAAACAGGAGGACUUACUUCCAGGGCAUAGAUUUUUGCUCCCUCAAACACAAAACCACCACAUGACUCACCUUUGCCAGGAAGGAUAUCAGAAGCACUGUACACGAAAACAUAGCUCUAGGUCAGGCUCUGGACAGACUGCCUCGAUGGUCUCACAAGUGCUCCUCAGACCAAAACCACAAAGGCUCUUCAUGGACAAUGAAAAUCCCACUCCAGUCCUAAGUCAGGGACUUCAAACUGAAGUGGGCUUUAUUCAACAAAAAAGGUAACAUAAAUUAAGCCCAACAUUGGAGGGAGACCUGGAAUCCUACAGCUCCAUUCAUACAGAAAUAAGAAAGAUUACCAAGUCCUUUUAGAAAAGGAAUUUGAAGUUCCUCCUGCCUUACCCCCAAUACUUAAGGAUAAAACCCAUCUCUAGCAACCACCCUGGUUGCAGUAUCAGGCCACCAAGAGGUUCAGGGAACAAGAGCAAAUACCCUGUUAGGAUGAGAGGACUGUGUCUGUUCGGACUGAAAAAAAAAACCAAAAAAAACCUGGCCAUGGGUAGGAAGGACACCCAAUGCCUGCAAAGUAAAAUGUCUUCUUUUUUUUAGGACUCACAUUGGCAUUUGAUUGUUUUUAAACAACUGAAUAAAGCUCUUUGCAGACCUCCUACACAGCAGGAGGUCAAGAGGUAGUAGUCAUCACUUAAAGCAGGGGAGGUUCUGACACAGCCCAAGAAAAGCCUUUUUGAUUGUGAACAUGGCCAAGCAGUGGAGGAGGUUUUCCAGACAGGCUGUGCGGUCUCUAGCCUUUCAUGAAAUUCCAUGGGAUAAAGACCUCAGUAAGCUACUCAGAGCUCACAGCCUGACCCUGCUUUGAGCUAGAGACUGGACUAGACAAACUCCCCAGGUCCCUUCUAAUCUGAGGGGCUCUAUGAACUGCUGAGUUCAGUGCAACCUUCUGGCAGUCCCUCUUCACAGAUGAUUCAGGAGAAGCACAGUAUGCUUACCAGGAGGGACAAGGCCUCUGUUUCUCUUUUGAGUUUUGUUUGGGGCUUUUUUUUAAAAUUUUUUGGGGGGUAUGGUUGUGUUUUGGGGUGUUUUUUUGUUUGAUUUUUUUUUUCCUGUGGAAAUUAAGAUUAAAUAAAAUAUGAAGAGACAACUCUCUUCAAAUUAC